GGAUUAGAUACCCUGGUAGUCCACGCUGUAAACGAUGAGUGUUAGGUGUUGGGGUCUUUAAGGCUUCAGUGCCGUAGCUAACGCGUUAAACACUCCGCCUGGGGAGUAAGAUCGCAAGAUUAAAACUCAAAGGAAUUGACGGGGACCUGCACAAGUGGUGGAACAUGCGGUUUAAUCCGAUACUACGCGCAGAACCUUACCAACUCUUGACAUGGUGGUCGCGGGAUUCAGAAAUGGAUUCUUUCAGUUCGGCUGGACCACACACAGGUGUUGCAUGGCCGUCGUCAGCUCGUGCCG
rnacentral:rRNA from 1 species